UUGAUAACAAAGACUUACAAUGUAUCGGGUAACCCAUGGAGAAUAGUUCAGCAGGUUGGGUUUGUAUGGCCAUGUGUUGUAAAGUUUGUUGAUAACAAAGACUUACAAUGUAUCGGACAACACAGGGAGAAUAGUUCAGCAGGUUGGAUUUGUACGCCCAUGUGUUGUACAGUUUGUUGAUAACAAAGACUUACAAUGUAUCGGGUAACACAUGGAGAAUAUUUCAGCAGGUUGGGUUUGUAUGGCCAUGUGUUGUAAAGUUUGUUGAUAACAAAGACUUACAAUCUAUCAGACACCACAUGGAGAAUAGUUCAGCAGGUUUGAUUUGUAUGGCCAUGUGUUGUACAGUUUGUUGAUAACAAAGACUUGCAAUGUAUCAGGUAACACAUGGAGAAUAGUUCAGCAGGUUGGACUUGUAUAGCCAGGUGUUGUACAGUUUGAUGAUAACAAAUACUUACAAUGUAUCAGGUUACACAUGAAGAAUAAUUCAGCAGGUUGGAUUUGUAUGGCCAUGUGUUGUACAGUUUGUUGAUAACAAAGACUUACAAUGUAUCAGGUAACACAUGGAGAAUAGUUCAGCAGGUUGGAUUUGUACGGCCAUGUGUUGUACAGUUUGUUGAUAACAAAGACUUACAAUGUAUCAGGUAACACAUGGAGAAUAGUUCAGCAGGUUGGAUUUGUACGGCCAUGUGUUGUACAGUUUGUUGAUAACAAAGACUUACAAUGUAUCAGGUAACACAUGGAGAAUAGUUCAGCAGGUUGGAUUUGUACGGCCAUGUGUUGUACAGUUUGUUGAUAACAAAGACUUACAAUGUAUCAGGUAACACAUGGAGAAUAGUUCAGCAGGUUGGAUUUGUACGGCCAUGUGUUGUACAGUUUGUUGAUAACAAAGACUUACAAUGUAUCAGGUAACACAUGGAGAAUAGUUCAGCAGGUUGGAUUUGUACGGCCAUGUGUUGUACAGUUUGUUGAUAACAAAGACUUACAAUGUAUCAGGUAACACAUGGAGAAUAGUUCAGCAGGUUGGAUUUGUACGGCCAUGUGUUGUACAGUUUGUUGAUAACAAAGACUUACAAUGUAUCAGGUAACACAUGGAGAAUAGUUCAGCAGGUUGGAUUUGUACGGCCAUGUGUUGUACAGUUUGUUGAUAACAAAGACUUACAAUGUAUCAGGUAACACAUGGAGAAUAGUUCAGCAGGUUGGAUUUGUACGGCCAUGUGUUGUACAGUUUGUUGAUAACAAAGACUUACAAUGUAUCAGGUAACACAUGGAGAAUAGUUCAGCAGGUUGGAUUUGUACGGCCAUGUGUUGUACAGUUUGUUGAUAACAAAGACUUACAAUGUAUCAGGUAACACAUGGAGAAUAGUUCAGCAGGUUGGAUUUGUACGGCCAUGUGUUGUACAGUUUGUUGAUAACAAAGACUUACAAUGUAUCAGGUAACACAUGGAGAAUAGUUCAGCAGGUUGGAUUUGUACGGCCAUGUGUUGUACAGUUUGUUGAUAACAAAGACUUACAAUGUAUCAGGUAACACAUGGAGAAUAGUUCAGCAGGUUGGGUUUGUACGGCCAUGUGUUGUACAGUUUGUUGAUAACAAAGACUUACAAUGUAUCAGGUAACACAUGGAGAAUAGUUCAGCAGGUUGGGUUUUUAUGGCCAUGUGUUGUGCAGUUUGUUGAUAACAAAGACUUACAAUAUAUCAGACAACACAUGGAGAAUAGUUCAGCAGGUUGGGUUUUUAUGGCCAUGUGUUGUACAUAGGGCUGCAACGAUACACCUUACUCACGAUACAAUACAUAUCACGGUACAAUAUGGUACAUAUCACAAUACAAAUGUCUGCUUAAAAGGUCAACAUCAUAACAAUUGAGCGCAGGAUUUUAUUGAGUUUUGUCACAGACUUCAAUAGUAAAUACUAUUGAAAUAUAUUUUUGUAUAAUUUCUAGUACUUUUCGGUGUGACUGUACAGUGAACCACAUCUUUACUGACAGCCUAAAACAAUCAGUGCACAUUUUUGGAAUUAGAUAAAACUUAAAUGAUAAUUUCAGUACUGUUAGUGUAUUGCGAUACAGGCAAACUAAACAAUUUGAUAAGACACACUAGAAAGUAUCCCGAUACAACACGAUAUAUAUCGUUUCAGCCCUAGUUGUACAGUCUAUUGUUAAGUUAAGACUUGCAACAUAUCAUGCGUGUAGUAGAAAAUGCAGGUUAGAUUUGUUAAGCCUUGCAUUGUACAGUAUAUUUGAUGUUGAGAUAAGAGUUUCAAUGUAGGAGGCAUGCAGUAAUUAAUGAUUUGUAUGGCCUUUUGUUGUACAGUUUAUAUUGGCCAUGAAGCUUUAUUUAUGACGGAUGAAAUGUGGCAUGCUGAAUGAAUGACAAGAAAUAUAGAAUGAAAAAUAAACCAUAAGGACAGCAAA